rnacentral:rRNA from 1 species
AUGAACGCUAGCUACAGGCUUAACACAUGCAAGUCGAGGGGCAGCGGGAUUGAAGCUUGCUUCAAUUGCCGGCGACCGGCGCACGGGUGAGUAACGCGUAUCCAACCUUCCGCUUACUCGGGGAUAGCCUUUCGAAAGAAAGAUUAAUACCCGAUGGUAUCUUAAGCACGCAUGAGAUUAAGAUUAAAGAUUUAUCGGUAAGCGAUGGGGAUGCGUUCCAUUAGGCAGUUGGCGGGGUAACGGCCCACCAAACCUACGAUGGAUAGGGGUUCUGAGAGGAAGGUCCCCCACAUUGGAACUGAGACACGGUCCAAACUCCUACGGGAGGCAGCAGUGAGGAAUAUUGGUCAAUGGGCGAGAGCCUGAACCAGCCAAGUAGCGUGAAGGAUGACGGCCCUACGGGUUGUAAACUUCUUUUGUGCGGGAAUAAAGGAACCUACGUGUAGGUUUUUGCAUGUACCGUAACGAAUAAGCAUCGGCUAACUCCGUGCCAGCAGCCGCGGUAAUACGGAGGAUGCGAGCGUUAUCCGGAUUUAUUGGGUUUAAAGGGAGCGUAGACGGGUUUUUAAGUCAGCUGUGAAAGUUUGGGGCUCAACCUUAAAAUUGCAGUUGAAACUGGAGACCUUGAGUACGGUUGAGGCAGGCGGAAUUCGUGGUGUAGCGGUGAAAUGCUUAGAUAUCACGAAGAACCCCGAUUGCGAAGGCAGCCUGCUAAGCCGCCACUGACGUUGAGGCUCGAAAGUGCGGGUAUCAAACAGGAUUAGAUACCCUGGUAGUCCGCACGGUAAACGAUGGAUACUCGCUGUUGGCGAUAGACAGUCAGCGGCCAAGCGAAAGCGUUAAGUAUCCCACCUGGGGAGUACGCCGGCAACGGUGAAACUCAAAGGAAUUGACGGGGACCCGCACAAGCGGUGGAGCAUGUGGUUUAAUUCGAAGCAACGCGAAGAACCUUACCAGGUCUUGACAUCCCGAUGAAAAACCCGUAACGGGGUUCCCUCUUCGGAGCAUCGGAGACAGGUGGUGCAUGGUUGUCGUCAGCUCGUGCCGUGAGGUGUCGGCUUAAGUGCCAUAACGAGCGCAACCCUUGCUGCCAGUUACUAACAGGUCAUGCUGAGGACUCUGGCAGGACUGCCAUCGUAAGAUGCGAGGAAGGUGGGGAUGACGUCAAAUCAGCACGGCCCUUACGUCCGGGGCUACACACGUGUUACAAUGGGGAGUACAGAGGGCAGCUACCGGGCGACCGGAUGCGAAUCCCGAAAGCUCCUCUCAGUUCGGACUGGAGUCUGCAACCCGACUCCACGAAGCUGGAUUCGCUAGUAAUCGCGCAUCAGCCACGGCGCGGUGAAUACGUUCCCGGGCCUUGUACACACCGCCCGUCAAGCCAUGAAAGCCGGGGGUACCUGAAGUACGUAACCGCGAGGAUCGUCCUAGGGUAAAACCGGUAAUUGGGGCU